CAUUCCCUUCUUUUCUAUUUGAAGAUCUAAUUGGCUCUAUUAAGCAAUUCAUGAAUCUGGCAGCAUCCCAUCUUGCAACCAGAAGGGC